rnacentral:rRNA from 1 species
GGGGGAUAUUGCACAAUGGACGAAAGUCUGAUGGAGCAACGCCGCGUGAGCGAUGAAGGCCUUCGGGUCGUAAAGCUCUGUUGUUAGGGAAGAACAAGUAUCGGAGUAACUGCCGGUACCUUGACGGUACCUAACCAGAAAGCCACGGCUAACUACGUGCCAGCAGCCGCGGUAAUACGUAGGUGGCAAGCGUUGCCCGGAAUUAUUGGGCGUAAAGCGCGCGCGGGCGGUCCUUUAAGUCUGAUGUGAAAGCCCACGGCUCAACCGUGGAGGGUCAUUGGAAACUGGGGGACUUGAGUGCAGAAGAGGAAAGCGGAAUUCCACGUGUAGCGGUGAAAUGCGUAGAGAUGUGGAGGAACACCAGUGGCGAAGGCGGCUUUCUGGUCUGUAACUGACGCUGAGGCGCGAAAGCGUGGGGAGCAAAC